ACAUUAACAGCCUCUAUUUUAAUGGCCAUUUCAGUAUCUCUCGCUGGGCCGUGUUUGAGGACAGGAAGAAGUGUAACGCAGUUUUCUACAAAAUGCCAUCGUGUCGUCUGCUCUGUCUUCUGCUUCUCCCGCUGUUGGCUGUCAGCGCGUCAAACGACCUAGAGGAAGACUAUGUGCCACAGAGCAAAUCACCCGAUUCCCACAUUUUGUCGGAACCACUGUCCCUACCCCCUGAUAGUCGCCUCAUGGAUGGGCGGUUAAACGUGCCCCGAGUUUGGGCUAACCUGUUCGACAGACUGUCCAGCGAGUCCUCAGGUCAAGUCAGGACAUCCGAUGCUCAAACGAAACGCGUCUUCUGCAACGGCUUCACCGGAUGUGGCGGAAGGUUACGGGGCAGGAGGGCAGGUCCUGAUAACAAAUCACCCGAGUCCCACAUUUUGCCGGAACCACUGUCCCUACCCCCCGAGAACCGCCUCGUGGAUGCGCGGUUAAACGUGCCCCAAGUGUGGGCUAAUCUGUUCGACAGACUGUCCAGCGACUCUUCAGAUCAGGGUAGGACACUUGGGAACUCCGACGCUCUUACGAAACGUGUCUUCUGCAACGGCUUCACCGGAUGUGGCGGAAGGUUCCGGGGCAGAAGGCGACAGCAUCCUCCAGUCCUCGGCAAGCGGCCAUUUUGUAAUUACUUCGGCUGUGGGAAUGCUGGGAAACGUUCCGAGCCUCCGACGAAAGCUGUGGCCCAGCGCCUGAUGAGACUACCGGAUGUCAUCAGGAAGAGGCUCUUCUGUAACGGCUUCGACGGCUGUCGGGGCGGCAAGAGGGCGCUGUACUCCAACUGGUUGUCCAAGCUCCAGGGCAUCGCCGAUGACCUCUAAAUCAUGGAGAACCCAAUAAGGAAAAGGGACCAUGUCAUGUCGUCGGUCCAGGUGCUGUGUUAAACAAAUAUAGCGCUGAGAGAAAAGUGACGUCACCAUCUAUAACAGAAUUAUCUCCCUUCCGCGUCAGUCUUCAUCAUCCUGUCAACGUCAUUCUUGUUUUGUAGCACAUGCCUCUUCUGUGAAUCAUAAUGACGUCACCUCAUUGUACACUGACCUGGAUGACGUCACUUUUCGGGUCAAUGGUCAAAAAGUGCGUGAGGUGAAGGGCAUAUGCCAUCAGACUGAAGCAAGAUGGAGUAACUUUUUGACCAUUGACCUUCAUGAUGACGUCACCCUGAAACAUCUUCUGUCGGAGCAGGAGCGCUUUAGGAACCGUUGGUGCCGGAAACUUAACACACAGGAAAUAGUUUACUAUGGAAUUAAAGGACCCCUGAUAAUCUCGCUCGUAUAGUGAGUUGAUAAGAGAAUAAAGAUGACGUCAUUAGUUGCAGCAGAUUGGCUCUUGCUGGACUUGCUGCUUAGCGUAUUCUCCUGGUAUUCUCUUAACAAUGUUCGUGUCUGCAUCUCCCUCAAGAAGAAGGAUAGAGAGAGGUCUCCCUCCAGCAAUAAGUCCUUCCUGUGAUGAAACAUGUCCUGUAUCAUGUCUAGUGUUGCCAUUCUAUCAAACUCGCAUCUGUUACAGCCGAAUUGCAAGGACUAACCCUGAUUAAUACUGGUGUUUAAGUAAGACUAUAGUAACUAUUUAGUAACAUAUAAAAUACAAAAAGGUAAUAAUGCAAUGUACAGUGUCUCGUUGUAUGAGAACGUUGAUUCACUUCAGAAUAUAUACAUAUACACUGUAUAUAUAUUGUGAUGAGCAAACCGUGUAUAAAGAUGAGAAUAAAUAUCAUUCCAAAAGACA
rnacentral:misc_RNA from 1 species